UACGGGGGGGGCAAGCGUUGUUCGGAAUUAUUGGGCGUAAAGGGCUCGUAGGCGGCCAGCUAAGUCGGAUGUGAAAUCCCCAGGCUUAACCUGGGAACUGCAUCCGAUACUGGAUGGCUUGAAUCCGGGAGAGGGAUGCAGAAUUCCAGGUGUAGCGGUGAAAUGCGUAGAUAUCUGGAGGAAUACCGGUGGCGAAGGCGGCAUCCUGGACCGGCAUUGACGCUGAUGAGCGAAAGCUAGGGGAGCAAACGGG
rnacentral:rRNA from 1 species